rnacentral:snoRNA from 1 species
AAGCUGGGCGAUGAAGAGCUCGUCUCUUUCAUACUCAUCGGCCUUGGAGAGGACUUCGAGUCCAUUGUGUCUGCCAUCGCUUCGCGUGUUGAGCCAAUCUCGCUCAACGAACUCUAUGUGUAGCUUGUUGCUUUUGAGC